CCUACGGGAGGCAGCAGUGGGGAAUAUUGCACAAUGGGGGAAACCCUGAUGCAGCGACGCCGCGUGAAGGAAGAAGUAUUUCGGUAUGUAAACUUCUAUCAGCAGGGAAGAAAAUGACGGUACCUGACUAAGAAGCCACGGCUAACUACGUGCCAGCAGCCGCGGUAAUACGUAGGGGGGCAAGCGUUAUCCGGAUUUACUGGGUGUAAAGGGAGCGUAGGCGGUUCAGCAAGUCAGAAGUGAAAGCCCGGGGCUCAACUCCGGGACUGCUUUUGAAACUGUUGAACUAGAGUGCAGGAGAGGUAAGUGGAAUUCCUAGUGUAGCGGUGAAAUGCGUAGAUAUUAGGAGGAACACCAGUGGCGAAGGCGGCUUACUGGACUGUAAAUGACGCUGAGGCUCGAAAGCGUGGGGAGCAAACAGGAUUAGAUACCCUGGUAGUC
rnacentral:rRNA from 1 species